rnacentral:rRNA from 1 species
GAUGAACGCUGGCGGCGUGCCUAAUACAUGCAAGUCGAGCGAACGCACGAUAAGCUUUCGCCCCUGAUGUUAGCGGCUGACGGGUGAGUAAGACGUGGAUAAGCUACCUAUAAGACUGGGAUAACUUCGGGAAACCGGAUCUAAUACCGGCGGAUAUUUUGAACGGCAUGGUUCAAAAGUUAAUGACGGCCUGGCCGUCACUUUUAGAUGGAUCCGGGUUGCAUUAGCUAGUUGGUAAGGUAACGGCUUACCAAGGCAACGAUGCAUAGCCGACCUGAGAGGGUGAUCAGCCACACUGGAACUGAGACACGGUCCAGACUCCUACGGGAGGCAGCAGUAGGGAAUAUUGGACAAUGGGCGCAAGCCUGAUGCAGCAAUACCGCGUGAGUGAAGAAGGUCUUCGGGUCGUAAAGCCCUUUUAUUAGGGAAGAAAAUAUGCAGAAGUAACCGCGCAUGUCUUGACGGUACCUAAUCAAAAAGCCACGGCUAACUUCGUG